GCGUCCUCCAAAGGCAAGGAUCACCUUGAGCUAUAAUCUUGGAUUUCUUUUGAAUUUAGGAGAUCACCAAAUCAGGAGCAGUAGACCCAGGGAUCUUAGAAGGCUUCCAGUAGAUGUCUUCUUUGGGAUUUAUGUCUUAAUGCUUAUGUCUUUGCAUCAGUUGUAUUAUUGGUUAAGAACCUCCUUGUAGGUCAUGCUGUAUUUUUAUUUA